rnacentral:misc_RNA from 1 species
GCUGAGGCAGUUGAAUAUGGCAUCAUAGACAAGGUACUAUAUAAUGAAAGGAGCACCAAAGACCGUGGAGUUGUUUCUGACCUUAAAAAGGCACAGCUUAUAUGAUUGAGACAGAAAUUUAGAUUGGUGAUUGUUGUGAGUAAUCAGAGAAGGUUAUGUUAAUUUGCAUUUGGCUGAAGCGAAGUAUAUUGAAUUGACGGUGACACAAACGAACCAAGAAAUGGAAUGUGGCCUUGAAUGGGAGCAAGGUUGUGGAUAUUAUAACCUUGAAGCUUUUUUAGAUAUGGAUUAUGCUGUUUCUGUGGUUAAUCUAAACGUAUAACAAGCAUUUGUU